ACACAGGGACACAUAUGAAGUCUCGGAGCCGGGUGUUGGUUCCGGUAGCGAUCGAGGGAAAUUAGUACCGAAGUCCGGGAUGGAAGAUGGCGAGAAAAGCUGUGUGUAUUUCUGCGGUGCCCGUACCGCAAACCGACACAGGUAGGUAGGAAGAAGAUUCUAAGGCCAACGGGAGAAGGGUUGUUAAGGAACUCGGCAAAUUGACCCCGUAACUUCGGGAGAAGGGGUGCUGCAGCAAUGCAGCCGCAGAGAAUCGGCCCAAGCAACUGUUUACCAAAAACACAGGUUUGUGCUAAAUCGAAAGAUGACGUAUACGAGCUGACGCCUGCCCGGUGCUGGAAGGUUAAGAGGAGAUGUGCAAGCAUUGAAUCGAAGCCCCAGUGAACGGCGGCCGUAACUAUAACGGUCCUAAGGUAGCGAAAUUCCUUGUCAGGUAAGUUCUGACCCGCAUGAAAGGCGUAAUGAUUUGGGCACUGUCUCAACAGCCCGCCCGGCGAAAUUGUAGUACCGGUGAAGAUGCCGGUUACCCGCGACAAGACGGAAAGACCCCAUGGAGCUUUGCUGUAGCCUAAUAUUGGGUUUCGAUGUUGCAUGCACAGGAUAGAUGGGACACUGGGAAGCAGGUGCUUUGGCGCUUGUGGAGUGGCCGUUGGGAUACCAUCCUUGCGAUAUUGGAAUUCUAACCUGCGCCUUUGAAUCAAGGCGGGGGACAUUGUUAGGUGGGCAGUUUGACUGGGGCGGUCGCCUCCUAAAGAGUAACGGAGGCGUUCAAAGGUUCGCUCAGCUUGAACGGAAAUCAAGCAAAAGAGUGCAAACGCAGAAGCGAGCCUAACUGCGAGACUGACGGGUCGAGCAGUAACGAAAGUUGGAGUUAGUGAUCCGGUGGUAUGUGAGUGGAAAUGCCAUCGCUCAACGGAUAAAAGUUACCCUGGGAAUAACAGGCUGAUCUCCCCCAAGAGUCCACAUCGACGGGGAGGUUUGGCACCUCGAUGUCGGCUCAUCGCAUCCUGGGGCUGUAUUCGGUCCCAAGGGUUUGGCUGUUCGCCAAUUAAAGCGGUACGCGAGCUGGGUUCAGAACGUCGUGAGACAGUUCGGUCCCUAUCUGUCGUGGGCGCAGGAUAUUUGAUGGGAGCUGUUCCUAGUACGAGAGGACCGGAGCGGACGUACCUCUGGCGCACCAGUUGUUCUGCCAAGAGCAUAGCUGGGCAACUAUGUACGGAUCGGAUAAACGCUGAAAGCAUCUAAGCGUGAAGCCGACCCAAAGAUAAGAUAUCCCAUUGUUUCAAACAAGUAAGACCCCCUUGAAGACUACAAGGUUGAUAGGCACGAUGUGUAAGUGGAGCGAUCCAUUCAGCAAGCGUGUACUAAUAGGUCGAGGGCUUGAUC
rnacentral:rRNA from 1 species